GACAGUGGGGCGGGGAGGGCAGUGGGAGAAGACAGAAGAUUUGGAAAAGGGUUCAUCUGUGACCAGUGGCUCACUUUCCUCUGAUUUGCCCAAAGCUUUUCAGCUGCAGAAGAGGAGCCGCCAAGGUGCUGCUGUGGGUCCCUCACCAGACCAGUCCUGCAUUAUGCUUUGAGUGCUGAUCCUGGAUGCAAACCUGCCUAUUUUUAGCCUGCCUACUGGAUCUUGAAGGCUCCUACUAAGAAGUAAAUGUCAGCAACCAGGCAUUUCUACCGCCUGUCCCCAGUGACCCAGCAACAGCAGACUUCAUCACUAGCUGCCAAGAUGUAACACAUUCCCACUGUUGCCAGGAGUCACAUAUCCUCUCCCUGUACAUCACCUUGUAAAAGGCCAAUCCCUCCUCGCCCUGUGCUCUUUUUCUUUCCACCCUUGCUCAGAGGCAACCUCUGCGUACCCCAUCCCUAAUAAACCUCCCAAGUGAGAUCUGUCAUAUGGUGUGACUUUAUGGCGUCCAUUGUUUAAAUCAUAACCAUUUUCUUUAUUGUGUACUUUCCUAGGGUUUCAUGUAUAACUUCCCUCUUUGUCUCACCUUUUUACUUCUUUAUUCCUCUGAUUUGAUCAGCAUGUCACCAAAAAAUCUUUUCAGUUUUGAUGCCAAAAAGUUCAGAAACAUACCACAGUACGCAGCACAUGUGGAGCUCAGAAGACAACUCUAUACAGUUGGUUCUCUCCUUCUAGCACAUGGGUUCUAGGGUUCUAACUCGGAUUGUCAGGAUCAACAGAAGACACCUUCACCCACACAGAGAAAUUCAUUUCUUUUUUUAAAAAAAUCUAUCUAUCUAUCUAUCUAUCUAUCUAUCUAUCUAUCUAUCUAUCUACCUAC